UCUGGAGCGCCUUUUAUCAGUUAUUCGUUUUUGGACUUCAGUUUUCUGUAUAAUAUUUAUUUGAACAAAUCUUCUUAAAUGCUGGUUUAAAUAUUUUUAUGUCUCCCUUCAAAGAAGAGGGGGAAUAUUGUUUUUCACAUGUCGGUUGGUCUGUCCACCAGAUGGUUUCGGGAUGAUAACUCAAGAAUGCUUAUGCCUAGGAUCAUGAAACUUCAUAGGCACAUUGAUCAUGACUGGCAGAUGACCCCUAUUGAUUUUCAGGUCACUAGGUCAAAGGUCAAGGUCACAGUGACUUGAAACAGUUAAAUGGUUUCCGGAUGAUAGCUCAAGAAUGCUUAGGCCUAGAAUCAUGAAACUUCAUUGGUACAUUGAUAAUGACUGGCAGAAGACCCCUAUUGAUUUUCAGGUCACUAGGUCAAAGGUCACAGUGACUCUAAAUAGUAAAAUGGUUUCCGGAUGAUAACUCAAGAAUGCUUAUGCCUAGGAUCAUGAAUCUUCAUAGGCACAUUGAUCAUGACUGGCAGAUGACCCCUAUUGAUUUUCAGGUCACUAGGUCAAAGGUUAAGGUCACAGUGACUCGAAACAGUUAAAUGGUUUCCGGAUGAUAACUCAAGAAUGCUUAGGCCUAGAAUCAUAAAACUUCAUUGGUACAUUGAUAAUGACUGGCAGAAGACCCCUAUUGAUUUUCAGGUCACUAGGUCAAAGGUCAAGGUCACAGUGACUCUAAAUAGUAAAAUGGUUUCCGGAUGAUAACUCAAGAAUGCUUACGCCUAGGAUCAUGAAACUUCAUAGGUACAUUGAUCAUGACUCGCAGAUGACCCCUAUUAAUUUUCAGGUCACUAGGUUAAAGGUCAAGGUCACAGUGACAAAAACAUAUUUACACAAUGGCUGCGACUAAAACUGACAGCCCAUAUGGAGGGCAUGCAUGUUUUACAAACAGCCCUUGUUAAAGAAAAGUUUCAGCAGUCAACCUUUGAUAACUCUUUUAAAGUAAUGUGUGAGCUCCCAGACAGUCUAUGACAGUACCAAAGACAGUUUGUGUGCUCCCAGGCAAUCUAUGAUGGUGCCAAAUACAGUCUGUUAAAAAUCAUUCUUAUGCAUAAUUGGUUUUAGUUUAUUUCUGUGUUAUAAUUGUCCCCUACCGGUUUGACAGGAGGAGACUUAUGGUUUGCACUCCGUAUGUCAGUCCGUCCGUCCGUCACACUUUUCUGGAUCCUGCGAUAACUAUCAAAGUUUUUCUUAAUAUUUUUUCAUGAAACUUGAAACAUGGAUAGAUGGCAAUAUGGACAUUAUGCACGUCAUUUCAUUUUGUUCCUACGUAAAAAAUUCUGGUCACUAUGGCAACAAAUAGACUAGAAAUACUGCUGAAAAUGGUGGUUUCUGGAUCCUGCGAUAACCACAAAAAUUGCGGUUGCUAUGGCAACAACAAAAAAAAAUUCUGAAAAUUGUGAAAUUUCUGACAAUGGUGGAGCCGGUAGGGGACAAUAUUGCUUGACAACAGCCUUGUUACUAAAUUAUACUAUAAACCAACUUAACAUUUUUAGCUCACCUGAGCACAAUGAAUGUGCUCAUGGUAAGCUUUUGUGAUCGCCUUUUGUACGUCAUGCGUUGUGCGCCAUUAACAUUUGCAUUGUUUACACUCUUGAGUCCACAUUUAUUGUCUAAUCUUUAUGAGAUUUGGUCAGAAGAUUUGUGCUAAUGAUAUCUUGGACAAGUUCAAAAAUUGUUCCGGUUGGUUGAAAAAUAUGGCCGCCAGGGGACGGGGCAUUUUUCGCUAUAAGACUAUUAAAACCUUGUUAACACUCUAGAGGCCACAUUUGUUGUCCAAUUAUCAUGAAACUUAGAAGAUUUGUCGCAAUUUUAUCUUGGACGAGAACGAAAAGGGUUUUGGUUGGUUGGAAAACAUGGCCGCCUGGGGCAGGGCAUUUUUCCUUAUAUGGCUAUAGUAAAAACUUGUUAACUUUCUACAAAUAACAUUAAUUGUCAAAUCUUCAUGAAACGUGGUCAGAACAUGUGUUCUAAUAAAAAAUGGUUCUGAUCCUUUGAUAAACAUAGCCUCCAGGCUGUUGAGGGUUUACCAAUGCUUUGGUCUGUUUGAUAUACUGCUGUUAACAAAUAUUAUGGAACCUGCUGUGACGGACCAUCCUAGACUGUUUAUAUGAACGUUCGUCUAUCUUCAUCGUCUGACAAUCAAUAGAUCCUGUCGACAUUGAAUGCAUUUAUUAACUGUGACACAGAAUAUAGACGUAAGGCAAAUAUCGUCAUGGGUUUGACCGCAGGAGUUUGAAAUUCUAUCCAUAAAGCUAAUCUAAUGGCUAAAUAAUAAUAAAAUAGACCCUAUAUAGUAUAUAGACUCUUUUUACCAUAUAGGGAACUUUUUAUAGCGCGACUAUUAUAUAUGAAAUCCUACUCAACCCGGCGUGAGCGUGCAAAAGUGUGUGUACCACCACAAAUAUUUCCUAUGUCCCUUGACAUAUUGCUUUCAGAUUUUGAAAAUUUCUUUACAAACAUGACCCCACUCUCUAAACAAGAGCAGACAACUGUAUCAAGCAUGUUGUAAGAAUUAUGGCCCUUUUAUGUAUUUGUAACUGAAUAUUUUGUUAAAUUUUGUGUUUAGAUCCACUUCACUUCUAAAGUAUCAAAGCUAUUGCUUUCAAACUUCAAAUAUUUUUUUAUUAUCAUGAGGGUACAGUACCUGCCAAAUUCAAUUUGACCUUGACCUUUGAAUGACCUUGAUUCUCAAGGUCAAAAGAAUAAAUUUUAGUUAAAUUGCCAUAACUUCUUCAUGUUUUAAUAUGUUUUGAAAGUAUCAUUGCCUUAUCAAUGUUAUCCAAUGUCUUCAACGAUGCAUAGAUUAAACAAAAGAUGGUGAUUUUUUGGACGACAAAGAACAUAAAUUCUUCAAGAAGGGUUAAAAUUGACCAAACUCGAAUUAUGCUAACAUUUAGUGGUUCUCCACUUGACUAUUGCAAAUUUAUCAAGAACUUCGAGACAAAUGUAGAGUGCAAAGUAAGUGACAUUAUACUUAAAUUAAGAUACAAUAUUGUACAGAUGAAGCCAGGUCAUGCAUAGAAGAUUAGGUUUUGUUAGACUAAACUGUAGCUAGGGUACUUGUAGAGUCUGUACUUGGUCGGAAAGCGUCCAGGUCUCGCAACCUGUAUAGUAGGAUGGAGACUAUCAGAGACUUGCAGAGUCUGUACUUGGUGGUGAAGCGUCCAGCAGGUUUCGCAGCCAUAGAGUAGGAUGAAGACUAUCAGAGACUUGCAGAGUCUGUACUUGGUGGGGAAGCGUCCCGCCGGUCUCGCAUCCGUAGAGUAGGAUGAAGACUAUCACAGACUUGUAGAGUCUGUACUUGGUGGGGAAGCGUCCAGGUCUCGCAACCGUAUAGUAGGAUGGAGACUAUCAGAGACUUGUAGAGUCUGUACUUUGUGGUGAAGCGUCCAGCAGGUUUCGCAGCCAUAGAGUAGGAUGAAGACUAUCAGAGACUUGCAGAGUCUGUACUUGGUGGGGAAGCGUCCCGCCGGUCUCGCAUCCGUAGAGUAGGAUGAAGACUAUCACAGACUUGUAGAGUCUGUACUUGGUGGGGAAGCGUCCAGCAGGUUUCGCAGCCGUAGAGUAGGAUGGAGACUAUCAGAGACUUGUAGAGUCUGUACUUGGUGGGGAAGCGUCAAGCAGGUUUCGCAGCCGUAUAGUAGGAUGGUGAGUUUUAGAGGUCUUUGUCAAAAUUUAUUUCUAAACGAUUUGCCCAAAGCGUAGAGAUCACAUGC